rnacentral:rRNA from 1 species
UUAGCGGCGGACGGGUGAGUAACGCGUGGGAACGUGCCCUUUGCUACGGAAUAGCCUCUGGAAACGGGGAGUAAUACCGUAUGUGCCCUUCGGGGGAAAGAUUUAUCGGCAAAGGAUCGGCCCGCGUUGGAUUAGGUAGUUGGUGGGGUAAUGGCCUACCAAGCCGACGAUCCAUAGCUGGUUUGAGAGGAUGAUCAGCCACACUGGGACUGAGACACGGCCCAGACUCCUACGGGAGGCAGCAGUGGGAAUCUUAGACAAUGGGGGAAACCCUGAUCUAGCCAUGCCGCGUGAGCGAUGAAGGCCUUAGGGUUGUAAAGCUCUUUCAGUGGGGAAGAUAAUGACGGUACCCACAGAAGAAGCCCCGGCUAACUCCGUGCCAGCAGCCGCGGUAAUACGGAGGGGGCUAGCGUUGUUCGGAAUUACUGGGCGUAAAGCGCACGUAGGCGGACCGGAAAGUCAGAGGUGAAAUCCCAGAGCUCAACUUUGGA